rnacentral:rRNA from 1 species
CUUCGCUCGUCUCAAAGAUUAAGCCAUGCAUGUGUUAGUGUAAAUGUAGUACUUUGGAACUGCGAAUGGCUUCUUAUAUUCAGUAUUGUUUAUUGGUGAAUGAUACUACUUGGAUAACCGUAGUAAUUCUAGGGCUAAUACAUGAGAAAGUCCUCUUUGGAGGUGGUUUAUUAGAAUGAAAACCAUAUGCUUCGGCAUGAUAGUGAGUAAUAGUAACCUAUCGUAUCGCAUGCUUGAUGUAGCGAUGAGUCUUUCAAGUUUCGCCCUAUCAGCUUUCGAUGGUAGUAUAUGGGCCUACCAUG